rnacentral:RNase_P_RNA from 1 species
GAAGCUGGCCAGGCAGCCGCUGCGUGCGUACAGAAGCGAGCCUUUACGAUGGCUCGUGCCGCACGGAGAGGAAAGUCCGGGCUCCACAGGGUAGGGUGGCGGCUAAUCACCGCCCGCCGUGAGGCGAGGAACAGGGCCACAGAGACGAGUCUCGUUGCGGGCGACCGUGGCGAGGGUGAAACGAGGCAACCUCCACCCGGAGCAACACCAAAUAGGCAAGCGACGACGCGACCCGCCGAGCUUGCGGGUAGGUGGCUCGAGCCCCGGAGCAAUCCGGGGCCUAGAGGAAUGGCUGCCAGGGCCGCGAGGCCCGCACAGAACCCGGCUUAUCGGCCAGCUUUCCUU